rnacentral:lncRNA from 1 species
UGCUUCUAGUUGUUUCAUGUCCCCUGAGAAAAGAAGAGCAAAAAGGUUUGGUUACUCAGUUAUUUUUGUGGGAGAGGAAUUCCCAUAUGACUGAAGGUGGGAAACACUGUGUAUGAAAAUAUAAAAGACUCGGCUUUGAGUACAUGUGUGGCCAAUGGAAUCCCUUUAAAAAUGAUCAAUCAGGCUGUGGCUUGCUUUGCUCCGGAAGCCCCUUGAAGAGACUGGCUUACAACAAAGGUCUGAGUCAUGCAAGUUAUUGCCUAAAACUUGGAGCUGACUCUGAAAAAAGUGACUCAAAUAAAUAACAAGAUGAAGCACAGACACUGUUAUAAACUGCUGGUGAGAUUUGAAAAAGAACUGUGGCAUAACACAUCUGGCACAGAUGCGGCAUGGUGUAGAGUUUCUGCCCAGAAAGUCACCAGCUGUGCUUCAUCUUUCCUUGCUCUGAUAGCCUGGACUGCUUCAUCCUCCACCCUGUUCCCAGAGUACUCAGCAGUUCUUCCCUAACUGGGAAAUCUGUAUCAGGGAUAUUGCUGCUGCUUGGAAGAUACCACACUGACAGGUAUCAUCAGUCACACUGUGCUGCUUUGUGAUUUUAAGGUGUCUAAAGCAGUCCAAAACAUGGUGUUAGCUGGGCUUCCAAAAGCAAAGUUUGUAUGCUAAUGCUCUGUCUGGUUUAGCAGAUGUCUCUUCCUACCUGGUUUUAAUGUUAACUACUAAAAAUCAGUGGCUGUUUUAUUGCCCAGAAUGGUAUGCAGCAAGCCCUUUCCUCCAAAGUGUGAAGUCUGCAGAAGCUAUCCUGCUGUGCCAUCACACCCAAAGCAUUGGAUCACCUUAACUCAACUGCUAGGUGCUUUGUGCUACAUUAUUAAUUACUGCAAGGCUUCUAAAGUUUAUUUACUUCAGUAAGAUUUUGGUCCAUUUACUAUGAUUCAUUACUCAAUCUGUGAUGCCAAAUUAAUAUUUUUUAAUUGUCAUAAUAGCUAUGGCACCUAUGUUGUGACAAUUAAGAAAACAGUGGUUAUCUGGUGAAUAUUAUUUGGGUCCGAAUUUUCUUUAAUUGAUUUUGUUAGUAGGCCUACCUUUUGAUGCUGUUCAGAGCCAGUAGGGUUUCUACAUAAAUCUCAACAGUUUGGAAAGGGUAGGAGAGGGAGUGCUGUAUAACAAAGUAUCCUGUGGGGUUUAUACCUAGCAUGAAAAAAGUUGUGUCAUAAAAGUGUCAUUUCUUAGUGUGAAGUUGUUUUGGGUUGUGUUUUUCAAAUACACCUAAGCUGCCCAGAUUGCAUAGAGGAACUAUUUUCAAUUCUUUUGAUGCCUCCAGCAAUUACACCUUCUUGAUGACAGACAAACUGUGUUGAAGCACUGCUGUGUCAAUGGUUUAUGUUUCAGCUGACUCAUCAUGACUUUCAUGCACACAUAAAAGUAAAAAGAAAAAUUUUUGUUGAUUUGCUGAGUGCUGUGCAAUCCUUCAUGUAUCUGAAGUCAUCGUCCAUCUGAAGCUGCCUACAAUAAAUAUAUUAAGUAAAAAUACA